ACGUAUUGGUAUGAAAUACAAAACUAUUUUGAUACAUCAUUUGAAGUCAACAAAACGAUGGAGACGACUGGCUAUACAAAUGGGCACAAGAACAUUUGAUAUUCUUAUGUGCAAAAAGUUUAGUAUGAUGAAGUUGAAAAGUCAUUCACGGAAAGUAAAUAUCGAACGCAUAUUUAUUUCCUUUUCCGACAAAACAUGCAUAUUGUCUUGUCUUGUCAAAAUAUGAUGAUACAAACCAAAAACUCCUGCCAUUGAAUUGCACGUUAACACCCGUUUUGCUUUCAAAUCCACAUAAUAAAGAUUCAGUUUUCACCAUAUCAACGUAAUUAAGUGUAGACACAAGAGAGUUACUGUGUAAUAUGGGCCUAGAUGCUGAAGAAAUGAAAAAAAGACAGAACAAAUCCAAAACAUAACAUCCCCACAACACAUGAGAAAAGUAGUAACACUAUUAUUGCUAUUCUUCAAAGCAGAGUCCCAGAAGCGUUUAUCAACCAGUAAAAGCUUAUUUUACUUAAAAAUUAAAUAAUAAAAUCAAGUUAUUUAUUUAAUCGUCCGCAUUUAUUUAUUUCAGUACCGAACUGCGUUGAUGAAACUCUCGGGACUGGUAGUCCACAAAAAGAGGUAUAGACCCAUUGCUGC
rnacentral:lncRNA from 1 species